UACGGAGGGUGCGAGCGUUAAUCGGAAUAACUGGGCGUAAAGGGCACGCAGGCGGGCUUUUAAGUGAGGUGUGAAAUCCCCGGGCUUAACCUGGGAAUAGCAUUUCAGACUGGGAGUCUAGAGUACUUUAGGGAGGGGUAGAAUUCCACGUGUAGCGGUGAAAUGCGUAGAGAUGUGGAGGAAUACCGAAGGCGAAGGGAGCACCUUGGGAAUGUACUGACGAUAAUGUGAGAAAGCGUGGGGAGCAAACAGG
rnacentral:rRNA from 1 species